rnacentral:rRNA from 1 species
CACGGGGGGAGCAAGCGUUGUUCGGAAUCACUGGGCGUAAAGGGCGUGUAGGCGGUCAAGUAAGUGGAAUGUGAAAGCCCCCGGCUUACCCGGGGAUCUGCAUCCCAAACUGCUUGGCUUGAGUACGGGAGAGGAUAGGGGAAUUCCUGGUGUAGCGGUGGAAUGCGCAGAUAUCAGGAGGAACACCGGUGGCGAAGGCGGGUCUCUGGGCAGUAACUGACGCUGAGGAGCGAAAGCGUGGGGAGCGAACAGG